CGGCCUUAUUACAUUUAAAAACCCAAACCUCAACGUAAAUAAUAGGAUGUCCAGUUCACCAGAAGAAAACCAAACUUUCAGAACGGGUGGUCACUCCGAAUUCUCUCACAGCUCCAAGCCCACUAUGGUUGGGGAUUUCCUGCGUGGAUGAAAAUAAAAGGGUGAGUUUAGGGAAACUCAGUGUGUAAGGAAAACCCAUUCAAAGCCUAAGUCAGCUCAAGCCUAUUGGGCUUCAGGUAACAGUGGUACUGGACCAGAGCCCUUUUCAGAUUACAAUAAACUGGGCCUUAGCCCCUUAUUUAGAUAACAAUAUGGCCCAUAGGCCCAUUUCAAAAUACAUGCAACAUCAAUAACAUAUGCAAGCCCAUUUGGGGAGACUACUCAACCCACCAACCACUACACUCCACCCGUACCAGCCAUACACUCCAUGUGGGGAAUAGCUCAACCCACCCAGCCCAACACUCCACAGUUGCAGCCUUGCUGCUCAGUUAACAGUAAAUUGAGGCAAAGCCUCCAGUACGUGGACAAGCCACUUUCAGUACUUCCUCCGUCAAUAUCCCAGUCCCAUGCAUCAGAUAAUAACAACAUGGCAUGCAGUAAAUAACAACAGUCAAACAUGCAUUUAGGUCAAUUUAACCCUAGGGGUAUUUCGGUAAUUUAUCUCCUAGGGGUAAAACUGUAAAUUUUCCACUUUUAAAGAUAUUUCAGUAAUUUAUCUAUUUUAGGGUUUUUCAUGCAUAUUCCUACCUUUCACGUACUAACAGAAUCACUACCGAGGGUUCUUGCCGAAUUGGGCCCGUUGGCCCAUCAUUCCAAUUUUGGCCCAUUAAGCCCAAAAAUAUCAAGGGCACAGAAAUCAUGCACUUUGCAAUCCAAAUUUUGCAGUUUACCAAAAACAUUAAUCGAUUUACCUCACGAGCAUUCGCACACUCGCAAAUCUAUAAAAUACUGGUUUUCGGUAUUUCGGCUUUUCGACUUUUGCCGAUCCAGACUAAGAAAGAGGGUGUUAGUUACACACCUGUUUGCGACGAUAUGCUGACGAGAUCCACACACGAACCGCCUACAAUUGGAUUACUAACACGUUAAUCUAACUAUUCAAAUACAAACUACGUAUUAACCCCUUACAAUAUUCGGCCAACCACACCUACAGAUCAUAGUAAGCUUAUAAGAAAUCAAUAAGCAACUCAUUAACAAAUUUUUGUCAAUGUUUACCACAUAAUCAUAAUUUCACUGCAAGCUGUCUUCCUGAGCAACAGUCACUAAAUUAUUUAUAACUGGAGCUAAUAAACUCCAAAUCAAGUUCCAUUAAUUUUCCCUAAAAAUAGACUCAUAUAUCUUCUAUCCAUAAAAUUUUCAGAAUUUUUGGUUUAGCCAAUCAAUACCAGAUUUUUCUCAAAGUUUCCCAUGUUUCACUGUUUGACUAAUCUGACCACUCUUCAUUACGAAUCAAAUUUCUUAUUGUACAGAAUUCAAAAUAUGUUCUUGUUUAUUUCAUUAGAAACUAGACUCAAUAAGCUUUAAUUACAUAAUUUAUUCAGCUUCUAAUUCAUCUCCCACAAUUUAUGGUGAUUUUCCAAAGUCACGUUACUGCUGCUGUCCCAAGCAGAUUUAUUACCAAAUCACUCUUUCACACAUACCUUGCAUGCAUGUUAUUUAAACAUGUAUAUCACCAAUCAAUCAUCACAUAUCUAUGAUUUUACUUAAGAAUAAUCUCCAUUUCAUCAUUUUAAAGCACAACAUGUUAGCUGAUUUUUUCCCUUUAACAUCUAAGGCACAUGCAUGCUCAUUUGUUUGGCUCAACUUCACCUAUCUUCCAUUUUUCAUCAAAAGAACAUGAAACAACAACCAUUUCCUUCAUUUUAAUUCAUGACUAAAUGCUCACAACACAACUAAAAAUCAAAAUAUACUUCAAGAGUUAAGGUAGAAUCAAGAAGAACUCAUGAACCUCAAAAUAGAAACAAGGUACCAAGAACUUACCUUCAAUUUUCCUCCUCCUAAUGACCGAAUACUCAAGAGCUUUCUCCUCUCCUUUCUCUUCUCUAACUUUCAGCUAUGAUGAACAAAGAUGGACAAAACUUUGUUCUUUU
rnacentral:lncRNA from 1 species